UACGGGGGGGGCAAGCGUUGUUCGGAAUUACUGGGCGUAAAGGGCUCGUAGGCGGCCAACUAAGUCAGACGUGAAAUCCCUCGGCUUAACCGGGGAACUGCAUCUGAUACUGGAUGGCUUGAGUUCGGGAGAGGGAUGCGGAAUUCCAGGUGUAGCGGUGAAAUGCGUAGAGAUGUGGAGGAAUACCGAUGGCGAAGGCAGCCCCCUGGGAUAACACUGACGCUCAUGCACGAAAGCGUGGGGAGCAAACAGG
rnacentral:rRNA from 1 species